rnacentral:rRNA from 1 species
CCUGCGGAAGGAUCAUUAUU